ACGUGAGGCUCAAAAUGGGCCUCCCGCCAAGUAAUUGACGGGAAGAACUUAGCUAUAUCGGUGAAACCCUAGAUGGAUUCAGGGUAAUACCGAGGGAAUCCCGAUUCGAUCGGGAACUCCGUAGAGACUACACGCUAAGCCCCCUGCACAUUUCAAAGAUGUGAGAGGGGUGAAGAUAUAGUCCGACACUCUGGGUAACCGGAGC
rnacentral:ncRNA from 1 species